UCGGGGAUCGUCUAAUGGUAGGACGGCGGAUUCUGGUUCCGUCAAUCAAGGUUCGAAUCCUUGUCUCCGAA
rnacentral:tRNA from 1 species